ensembl:lncRNA
GCAAGACCCAACCCUCUCCUCCAUGGGAGUGAGCAAGAGCAUCGGUACCUCCACAUGACAGCAUAUCUAUCCUGCUUGAACUGUGAAGCAGGGAUCUGCCAAGAGGUGGAAAAGGUGCUCCCCUUGCUCCAGCCUUGCUUUACAGACACCCACAACUGACUUAGAUCCUUCAGCAGAGAGCAUAGACCGUGUGGCAGAGGCCUACAGGUGGGAUUGCAUCUGGAUGACCAUUUAUUAUGUCCUCUUCUUCAGGCAUAUGCUCUUCUUAUGAGGUACUGCAAAUUCAUGUGGGCUUAGUUUUCCUUCUACUUAAACAAACAAACAAAAAACCCCCCAAAACUGUGAGCCAGUUUCCAGGACAUUCUUUAGCAGGCAGAGUGGUUUAUGUUGUGGUGGCAGCUCUAAAACCAAGGGUUUAACUAAUUGAGUCAGUUAAAAUCCUGUAUCACUUCCUGGACUUUAUCAAAAUGUAAAUCUCUCUUAUUCUGAUAGCAUUCAUGAUGGGUAAUUGAUUCAUUUGUGCCUAAGGUGUCCAGGAAAGCAAUGGAGUCACCAUCCCUGAUGGUGGUCAAGAACCGUGUGGAUGUGGCACUGAGGAACAUGAAGAGCCUGGAUUGCAGAUGCCAAGAAAUAUGGUAACAGCAGCAUUUCUCACAAACUUUGCCUGUUUUGUGAAGUGUUGGCCGUGACACCUGAUUAUGCGACUGCCCACUGUGUAGGAGUUGCAAGGUCAGCAUGAACUAAACAAAGGAAAACCGUGGUCUCACCCAAUAUACAGCCCACAGCAAACACAGAGUGUGCAGGGAGUAAUGAGUUUGCAUGAUAAGAGUAUAAUCGUUGUUUUGGGUGCUGUUGUCCUUGAAAACUGCUUUAGAAGCUUUUCCCAUCAGGUAGCAUCAGCUGUGAGUGAGAGCAGCCUCCUUAGAAACUGCUAUUUUAUCCUGCUCAACUGCAGACAUAGGCUCUGAGCCUUCAGUACCUGUUCUCCAACUUCAGACAUGACAGCCAGAUGUUUUCUCUCCCCACCCAGACUGCUGGCAGCACACAUACCUCAGUUGGUAAAGCUUUAAGACGUCCAUCAGUCUCAUGGGAUCUCUGGUAAACACCAAGAAGAUUCCCUGGAGUGCUUCAUCAAGAUCAAGUGCAGCAAAAGACUCAGUGCUGUCUCAUUCUCUGCCCAGCCUUGGGCACAGAUUUGAGCAACAUGAGAGCUGCUGUGACCCAUGUCAUCUGGCAGUGGUCCCCAAGAGCUUGUUUACACAGGAUAUUUUUUCACGAGAAUGUAAUUACACCGCUGAAACUACAUGAGCGUGAAAACUUUGCACGUGUAGCAGAGUUAAGCCAGGACUUCUGCGUUAGCCAGGGCUCGAUUCUGCAAGGUGCAGAGCCCAGGUGUGAGGCAGUGACUGUCCCUUGUUCCCUGCCAUCAGCGGCCCAGGAGAACAGUCAUUGUCCUUCAGGAAUGCUUGACAUCAUUCGGAAAUGCUGAGCACCUUCCAGGACUGGAACUACUGGGAUGAACAGGGCAGAAACAGGCUCAUGCUUUGCAUUUGGCCCAGGCUAUGCUUUUAAAGGACAUGAGGAAGUUCUUUAUUCUGGACUACGAGCCUGCUCUUGCUUUGACUGAAUGGAGAGAGUACCCACGUUCAGAGGCUUUGACAGGACUCAGCAUCCAACAGCAUCUGAUGGAUCACCUAUUACAGUCUGAAGACUUUAAAUCUGUCCAAGAGUGGUUUCCAAAGCUCAGAAUGAACGAUUUUGUAAUCAGCGACCUGACUUCGAGAGCUGCUUGAUAGUACAAAAUCUCAUUAAAGAUAAAAGACUAAAAGAAAAGUAAGCCUUCCAAACAAUUUUCCAAUUAAAAUUGACUUUUCUGGGGGAAAACAGAACAAACCAACAAAAAACUGGUUAUCUGGAAAGUUGAUACUCUAAUUUCUCAAAUGCAGAAUCCUGAAACACCUGGUAUCACCAACUCCCAGCAAGAAGCAGCAUUACUGAACACUGUGGCAGAAGCCUGGAUUCUAGAAAGAUCAGGGAAAAAGAAGAAACUGCAGUAGAAACAUUUGGCUUGUCACAAUUGUUAUAUGGCACUGUAGCUGCAACUUCGUAAUGUGCAAUAAAACUGACAUGACGAGUUUUCUUUGAAAAGCACUUUGGUUCUGGAAUAAAAUCACAUGCAU